rnacentral:sRNA from 1 species
AGACGGUGCCCGGUUGCCAGGCUCUGGGCUGGAGCGGUGUCUCUUCCUUCCUGGGAAUGGAUGUGCGGCGGGCGGACUGCGCCCGGCUGGGGCGGGGCCGAAUCGUGCCUUUUAGAUAGUCACAACUUAGCCUCCUCUUUUUCCAUCCGCGAUUUUUUUGGAAUUCUCCACUUUACCAAUACUUACAGGAUCUGGGACACACAGACUUUGAAAUAUGUUCUUCUUUGUCACCAAAAACAGAAAAAUGCACAACAGAGGGACAACAAAAGCCUCCUACAAGAGUCCUACCAAAACAAGGUAUCCUGUUAAAAGUGGCUGAAACCAUCAAAAGUUGGAUUUUUUUUUCUCAGUGCAAUAAGAAAGAUGACUUACUUCACAAGUUGGAUAUUGGAUUCCGACUCGACUCAUUACAUACCAUCCUGCAACAGGAAGUCCUGUUACAAGAGGAUGUGGAGCUGAUUGAGCUACUUGAUCCCAGUAUCCUGUCUGCAGGGCAAUCUCAACAACAGGAAAAUGGACACCUUCCAACACUUUGCUCCCUGGCAACCCCUAAUAUU